AGGCAUUCCCUUGCAUUCAGCGCAUCGCCACCGAGAGGACGCACGCACUCGCACAAAGCCGAGCCCGACUCUCGUGUAUUCCUUUCCGCUUCCUUUCAGCUGCCGCUCGUCUGGUGUUGGUUACUGAGGAGGUGUUUCACCACCCCCUCCCUGCCCUCCCCCGUCUUCCUUCCCCACCUCUCUUGCGUGUCUGCCCGCCCGUGCCCGUGGCUCUCCCUCGCCCUCGCCGCUUCCUCUUCCUGCUUUUGACCAGCGGCUCUCGCCUCCGCGCCGGCGCUGCACCCCAUCGCUCCCCCUCCCCGCCCCCUCAUCCGGGUCGUUCCUCCCGCUCUCUCCCUCUCCCUGCCGGACUGGCAGGCGCUCCCACUGCCUCCCCUCUGCGAACUACUAUCGCGGCUCGUCGCACCAUACAAUGUACGCGGACGCGACCCAUCCGCGCCGUGCUUGCUGGUGCGGCGCAGGUGGCGUGCCCGGCUGUGUGAGGCAGCGACAUGCGUACCGAUGCUCGCGACUCCUGGCUGGCGUUUUGCUGAUUGCCGGCGCGCUGACGCUCGCCGUGUCCACGGCGCCUGUGGCGUGGGCUGCGGGUGCCCUCGCCUCGCCGGAUGAGCCUGUGUACCUGCUGAACGCCAUGUACGCGUUGAGUGACUACAAUGCGAAGCAUGCAAAGGCGCUGUGGCUGGGCAUCGACUCCGCGCUGCACGAGGUCGGCUACACCGCCGCUCGCGGCCGCCCCAUCAAGAUCAUUGAACCGGACCCGACGGACGACCUGUCGGACAUCGUAGCUGUCGUGUUGAAGGCGCUCAAAGACUACCCGACGCUUCUUGGCGUGAUUGGACCGUACUCUGACACUUCCCUUGGUGCUGUGCUGAACAGCCCUGAGAUUCGGAACAGCGGGCUGAUGUUUCUGGGCCCGUUCACCGGGUCCAGUUCUAUGCGUGUGUGGAGCGAGAACGUGUACUUCAUGCGCGCGGAGCCACGGCUGGAGAUCAUGGCAAUGGUAAAGCACAUAGCCAAUACCUUCCGCGCACGCCGCACUGCGCUCAUGUAUCUGACGGGUGAGCAGUACGGAAGCUUCGAGCACAAGAGUCUUGUGGAGCUGAUGGCGUCCCUUUCGCUCGACCCGCCGGCUGUGUACUCCGCGUCGUACUCGACGAGCACUGCUGUGAACAUGACGGCCUUCGACGCGAUGGCGGACACGCGCCCGCAGGUGAUCAUAAUCUGGGGAAUACCUGCAGGGCAGGCUGUGGAGCUCCUGAAGGUUGUGCUUACAGACCCGCGUACGUCGUCGGCGUACAUCAUGUCGUCGUUUGCGCUGCAGCAGAUGACAUUCCAGGUGUACUACGAUCUUGCGAUGGCUGGGAAGCUGACGCCUGUAGACGGGCAGAUCAUGUCGAGCGCCACAUCCUUUCCGCUCACGGAACCUGCGUCGGUCCAUCUGAGGGUGUUCAGGGCGCAGAUGGGGGAGUACAUGGUGAAGACCGGCCGCGUGGACGCGAGCCUGUGGGCCGACGAGGCGAAGGCUGUGCAGCAGUACGGCCCGUGGGAGCAUGAGGCGUCGUCGUCGGACUCUGCUGCAUACGUGAACAACUUCUUCAACGAGCACCCGUGCGUAACGCAGCUGAUGAUUGCUGGGUGGAUUUCUGGCUCGCUGAUCGCGCAGACGCUUGCGGAGGAGAACCGGAUCGCGAAUCGGACGGCGUACAGACAGUACAUGUUCUCUCAGCAGCGCUACAUCGUAGGCGAGGACUUUGUUCUUGGUGACUACGGCGGGCCGUGCAACGGUGUUGCCGAGUUUCUGGGCGCCGUGUGCUACUGUAACCAGGGUGGGCACUCCGCGGUCCUUUCGAGGCUUGACAGAGCCGUGUGGACGGUGGUCGGCGGGUCUGGCGUCAGCUUCACGCAGAGCAGCUGCUACUCCGAUGGCACCACCCUCCCGCGGCCGCUGAACUUCCUGACGCUGAGCUACACUGACUACCCCGCUCUUUCGCGUGUAGCGUAUAAUUUUCAGUACGCUAUACAGGCGUUUGUGAAGUACAGCAAUUUUGUCGAGCGGGAGGUAACGUUCGGCACCAUUAACGUAACGGAGGACACUGCGCAACCGCUACUGGCGAGUAGUCUGGAGGAUGAAACGGUCGACAUGGUGUCAUCCACGCUUGUGAGGGGUGUGAAUGUUGAUGGGUACUUGGUGCCCUCCCCCAUUCACCCUCGGCCACACCUAGUAGAGCCGCUAAGAAACUACGUGUAUCUGAUGCCAACGCUUGAGCAGCAGAUGUUCGUACUGUACGCGAAGCUUUCGGCUGUGAGGGGCGUGACGUCGAUCGACUCGGCCGUGCAUAUGAUCCUGCACGGCUACGCCAGCGAUGAGGUAGCGAACAUCACCGCUGUGCUGCGCAAGUCUGCUGCGACGUUCAACUACGACAACCCGACUGUGACUGCGGUGCCCUCCACGAAGACUGUUGGGAGUGCGCUUGCUCACGGGCAGAUCAACUUCGUGCUUGCCGUGACAGCUGCGGAUGUGGCUGACAUUGUCGACUUUCUGGUUGAGGAGAAGACCUCGAUUGUUGUGAUAGUCUUCGAUGACUUGGUGAUUCAGUACCCCACGCUUGUCACUGCCCUCAAGUCGAAGCCGGCGUCUGUGCAGGCGCGUGUGAUCACGUUCACUAACCUGCCGCUCUGGAGCGACACUUCGGAGAGCGCGCAUGCUCUGAACCCUAUUCUCAGAGUCUUUCAUGGUGCGAUGCAGGAUCCUGCUAACUAUACCCCAGGUUUACUAAGUAACGUGGUGACGGCGGUGUUUAUGCUGCAGAUCGUUUCUGAUACGCCGGGCGGGAAUACUUCUGCAUUCAAGAAGACAAUUUACAGCACCGGCGUGAUCUCUUCUCGCGGGCUGUCCUUUGGCAGGUUUCAGUGGGGCUGCACAACGACGCCAACGGACAGGUUCUGCGUGUACCACAACUACGGCGCGCAGGGCAUCGUGAUGCUUUCCGUCCAGCGGAUGCUGGACCCGACGGUGCCGCAGCUGUCUUCCCCGAUGACGCCUACAAUGGAGUAUCGGCCGCGCCAGAGAUCGCAUGCGCUGACACCUGCGCAGCGCGGCGGUGCCAUUGCGGGCACUGCUCUGUUCACUGUCAUCUUGCUUGCGGUUGCUGGGCUGGCUCUGUACUGCUGCAUGGACAACCGCAACAACGACGCCGCGCCGAAGGACGGUGACGAGCCGGUGACGCUGCUCUUCACGGACAUCGAGAGCAGCACUGCGCUGUGGGCCGCGCUGCCGCAGCUGAUGGCUGACGCGAUUGCUGCGCACCACUGUGUGAUCCGGCAGCUGGUGAAGAAGUACGGGUGCUACGAGGUGAAGACGAUCGGCGACUCGUUCAUGAUCGCGUGCAGGAGCGCGCACAGCGCUGUGAGCCUUGCGUGCGAGAUCCAGACGAAGCUGCUGAAGCACGACUGGGGUACGGAGGCGCUGGACCGCGCGUACCGCGAGUUCGAGCUUGCGCGCGUGGACACGUUGGACGACUACGAGCCGCCGACUGCGCGGCUGAGCGAGGAGGAGUACGCUGCGCUGUGGUGCGGGCUGCGCGUGCGCGUGGGGAUCCACACGGGGCUGACCGACAUCCGGUACGACGAGGUGACGAGGGGGUACGACUACUACGGCGACACGUCGAACAUGGCUGCGCGCACGGAGGCUGUUGCGAAUGGCGGGCAGGUUGUCGCGACGGAGGCGGCGUGGUGGGCGCUGUCGAACGACGAGCGCGCGGGUAUUGCGCACACUGCGAUGGGACCGCAGGGGCUGCGCGGUGUGCCGUUCGCCGUGGAGAUGUUCCAGCUGAACGCUGUGCCUGGCCGCCGCCACGCUGCGCUGCGCACUGAGAUCGAGGCGAUCCUGCCGGAUGAUACAGCGACGGACACGGCCUCGAGCGCUGCAGGCGCGCUGCUGUCGUCUGUGGGCACGAUAAAUGGCCCUGCUGCUGGCAUUGCCUUCGUGUUGGCGAGCUGCUUUGCGCCGUACCCCGUUGCGCAGCGCGUGCGAGAGCUGCAGCCGCUGCUGAGCAAGUGGGGCGUUGGUGCGCCGCCGCGGAGUCGUCUUGUGAGCGAGGAGGACUACUGCCAGGGGCUGAUGAACCGUCUUGCGAUUCGGAUUGCGACGGUGUCGCAGGCUCGCUGUCCGGUGGGCAACAACGGUGCUGCGGUGGACCUCGAUGUGCAGCACGCUGGGACAGCUGGGGUGAUGAACCCGUUGCUGGGUGAGGGCAGCUUUAUCUCAGACGGUGCGAGGGCACGACAUUCGGGGCUGACGGCGGUGCCGCCCUCUGCUGAACCGUCUGCGAUGCGCGAGUCGCGUCUCUGGAGGAGAUCGCUCCCGUGUGGUCUGUUUCCGUCGACGACAUCGCUAGAAAAGGAUCAGCGAAGUAUGAGCGCUGUGGGAUGGGAGGAUAACGUGCUCCCGUUCACCGCACAGGCAUCACGGCGGCUCUCAGAGGAGCACAAUUCGCGGAGUGCGAGCAUCUCUUGCGAGGUUGUCGUUGUGCGGAUGCCCAUGAAGCUCGGGCGCCGCCGCCGCCCAAGUUUGCUGGAGCCGUUGGCGGAGGACGUGGCCGACGAGGCGUAGUCUGGGGGAGCGGGAGCUCAUCUUGGAGAGGUGUGUCGGUGGCGGCGGACUUUGUUUUGUUUUGCAUCACGUCUCUAUGCUGUGCUCGCUCAGUGGCGGGGCUCAGUGAAUGACUGCUGUGACAGAUGCCGUCUGCUUGCCGCUUGCAUGUGUGUCUGUGUGUGCGCGAACGCGAAGACAGCGCCGCGAGGGCGGCGUGCGCAAGAGCAGUGGGAUCUUCCUGGGGACGUGCCACAGUGCGUUCAGGAGGAUGACGGCUGCGCACAGCAUGAUGCAAGCAGAAUGAUGUGUGUGCUUAGUGCAAGGCGUGCACAUUCUGACUCCGCCACUCACCCCCUCCCCUCCACAGACGCCCCCCUCCCUCAGCCUUUUCGGAGAUGUGCGACGCGGGAGAGGGAGAGGAAACGUGUGUGCGACAGCGCGUUCACCUGUGCCUCGGCUGAGAAUGGUACCACCGCCUCUCCCUCUGUGCGGGAGGGGUAUCGGCAUACAUCACCACGGCCACUCCUACGCCUUCUUGUUUUGUUCGAUCAUCGACUUUCUGGCGUGACGGUCUUCGCCUGUGUAUUUGCCCUCGCUUUUCAGGGGCUGCCCAAUUUGUCUUCGGCGGUGGAUGUCUCGAUGGUGGAAGCCGAGUGCUUUUCUGCGUUUUUUGUUUCGCGUGUGUCUCAACCGUGCUGGUUUUUUCGCUUGCGCUCUCAUAUCUUGAGGCUGAGCUUCGGGUCUGCGCGGAGGACUCGUCUUUUCUUACUGCUUUUUUUUCACGGAACCCCACACCCUCGAACUCGCCACUACUUCAGAUACCCUGUGGCUCUCCUUGCUUAUCUGCCUCGUCUCGAUUCAAUGGUAGGCCGCAUUGUACGUGAGGAGGGGCCUUUCCGCAAGUGUGUGUACGCGCGUAUGUAUGAAUGCUUGUGUGCAUGUAUGUAUGGUUGUAUGCUCGUAUGGCUGGAUGAAUGUGUUCAGAUGUAUGUAUGGUGGUAUGUAUAUAUAUAUACAUCUAUAUAUUUGCGUAUGCUUAUGUGUAUAGAUAUGUACGUCUGUGCCCGUGCACGCCCGUGCGGUCGGAAGUCCGCGCACACACAGAUACGCUGGCUGCGUCCACGGGGCGCGCCUUGUGUCCCUAUUUUUUUAUUGUUGUUCAAUGCUCUCCUCCUCCGCCUAUUCCUUCCUCCUUUCGCCCCAUGUGCUGUUGCCCCGUCUGUGUGGUACCUAG
rnacentral:misc_RNA from 1 species